GACGAACGCUGGCGGCGUGCCUAAUACAUGCAAGUCGAACGCACGAAGUUGAAGAGCUUGCUCUUUAACCAAGUGAGUGGCGGACGGGUGAGUAACACGUGGGUAACCUGCCCAUUAGAGGGGGAUAACAUUCGGAAACGGAUGCUAAUACCGCAUAGUUUCAGGAAUCGCAUGAUUCUUGAAGGAAAGGUGGCUUCGGCUACCACUAAUGGAUGGACCCGCGGCGUAUUAGCUAGUUGGUGAGGUAAUGGCUCACCAAGGCAAUGAUACGUAGCCGACCUGAGAGGGUGAUCGGCCACACUGGGACUGAGACACGGCCCAGACUCCUACGGGAGGCAGCAGUAGGGAAUCUUCCGCAAUGGACGAAAGUCUGACGGAGCAACGCCGCGUGAGUGAAGAAGGUUUUCGGAUCGUAAAACUCUGUUGUUAAAGAAGAACAAGGAUGAGAGUAACUGCUCAUCCCCUGACGGUAUUUAACCAGAAAGCCACGGCUAACUACGUGCCAGCAGCCGCGGUAAUACGUAGGUGGCGAGCGUUAUCCGGAAUUAUUGGGCGUAAAGGGUGCGUAGGCGGCCUGUUAGGUAAGUGGUUAAAUUGUUGGGCUCAACCCAAUCCAGCCACUUAAACUGGCAGGCUAGAGUAUUGGAGAGGCAAGUGGAAUUCCAUGUGUAGCGGUAAAAUGCGUAGAUAUAUGGAGGAACACCAGUGGCGAAGGCGGCUUGCUAGCCAAAGACUGACGCUCAUGCACGAAAGCGUGGGGAGCAAAUAGG
rnacentral:rRNA from 1 species